rnacentral:rRNA from 1 species
CCUGGCUCAGAUUGAACGCUGGCGGCAGGCCUAACACAUGCAAGUCGAACGGUAACAGGAAGCAGCUUGCUGCUUCGCUGACGAGUGGCGGACGGGUGAGUAAUGUCUGGGAAGCUGCCUGAUGGAGGGGGAUAACUACUGGAAACGGUAGCUAAUACCGCAUAAUGUCGCAAGACCAAAGAGGGGGACCUUCGGGCCUCUUGCCAUCGGAUGUGCCCAGAUGGGAUUAGCUUGUUGGUGGGGUAACGGCUCACCAAGGCGACGAUCCCUAGCUGGUCUGAGAGGAUGACCAGCCACACUGGAACUGAGACACGGUCCAGACUCCUACGGGAGGCAGCAGUGGGGAAUAUUGCACAAUGGGCGCAAGCCUGAUGCAGCCAUGCCGCGUGUACGAAGAAGGCCUUCGGGUUGUAAAGUACUUUCAGCGGGGAGGAAGGGAGUAAAGUUAAUACCUUUGCUCAUUGACGUUACCCGCAGAAGAAGCACCGGCUAACUCCGUGCCAGCAGCCGCGGUAAUACGGAGGGUGCAAGCGUUAAUCGGAAUUACUGGGCGUAAAGCGCACGCAGGCGGUUUGUUAAGUCAGAUGUGAAAUCCCCGGGCCCAACCUGGGAACUGCACCUGAUACUGGCAAGCUUGAGUCUCGUAGAGGGGGGUAGAAUUUCCAGGUGUAGCGGUGAAAUGCGUAGAGAUCUGGAGGAAUACCGGUGGCGAAAGGCGGCCCCCUGGACGAAGACUGACGCUCAGGUGCGAAAGCGUGGGGAGCAAACAGGAUUAGAUACCCUGGUAGUCCACGCCGUAAACGAUGUCGACUUGGAGGUUGUGCCCUUGAGGCGUGGCUUCCGGAGCUAACGCGUUAAGUCGACCGCCUGGGGAGUACGGCCGCAAGGUUAAAACUCAAAUGAAUUGACGGGGGCCCGCACAAGCGGUGGAGCAUGUGGUUUAAUUCGAUGCAACGCGAAGAACCUUACCUGGUCUUGACAUCCACGGAAGUUUUCAGAGAUGAGAAUGUGCCUUCGGGAACCGUGAGACAGGUGCUGCAUGGCUGUCGUCAGCUCGUGUUGUGAAAUGUUGGGUUAAGUCCCGCAACGAGCGCAACCCUUAUCCUUUGUUGCCAGCGGUCCGGCCGGGAACUCAAAGGAGACUGCCAGUGAUAAACUGGAGGAAGGUGGGGAUGACGUCAAGUCAUCAUGGCCCUUACGACCAGGGCUACACACGUGCUACAAUGGCGCAUACAAAGAGAAGCGACCUCGCGAGAGCAAGCGGACCUCAUAAAGUGCGUCGUAGUCCGGAUUGGAGUCUGCAACUCGACUCCAUGAAGUCGGAAUCGCUAGUAAUCGUGGAUCAGAAUGCCACGGUGAAUACGUUCCCGGGCCUUGUACACACCGCCCGUCACACCAUGGGAGUGGGUUGCAAAAGAAGUAGGUAGCUUAA